ACUCUAGCGAGACUGCCGGUAAUAAACCGGAGGAAGGUGGGGAUGACGUCAAAUCAUCAUGCCCCUUACUGACCUGGGCUACACACGUGCUACAAUGGUUGGUACAACGAGUUGCGAGUCGGUGACGGCGAGCUAAUCUCUUAAAGCCAAUCUCAGUUCGGAUUGUAGGCUGCAACUCGCCUACAUGAAGUCGGAAUCGCUAGUAAUCGCGGAUCAGCACGCCGCGGUGAAUACGUUCCCGGGCCUU
rnacentral:rRNA from 1 species